CCACCGCAGCAGCAACAGGAAGAGCUGCGCGCACACCGCCCGCCGGAGCCGGAAGUGACGUCAAAAUGGCAGGCCGGAACAAAAGGAGAGAAAAAGACACACGAGAUGAACACAGAAGGGAGAAGGUCUUGUGACGAUGGAGUCAAAGAGUGGAGGGAAGGGGCUAUAAGCCAAGGAACCCCAAGGAUUGCUGGAGCUGUCAGAAGCGAGAAGAAGAGGAAGAAUUCUUCCUUAGAGCCUUCAAAGGGAACAUGGCCCUGCUGACACCUUGAUUUCAGACUUAUAGCCUCCAGAACUAUGACAGAGUAAAUCUCUGUUAUUUUAAGCCACCAAGUUUGUGACAAUUUGCUCUGACAUCCCAUUGUAUAGGAAACAAAUAUAUACAAUCUUCUGUAAAAUAAAAACUAUCUUCAACAUUG